GGUUGGUAUAGAGAGAUCAUAGGGGUAAAGGGUAUGAGAUUAGAUGGGUCAUUGUAACUACAUUCAGCUUUGAAAAUUGAGAGAGAUAGACUUUACUGUUUGGUUGCCUUUCACGUCAUCUCUUUUUGGAAACUCCAAAAACAGUAUGAGUUUGUGUGUAUCUUCGUGAUCUGUUUCCCACCAUUUAUCCUCUCUGUCUCUCCACUUCCUUUCAUUACUCUCACUUUCUUGUUCAUUUCUAUUUCCUCACUAGCUUCUCGUCUUUUAAUUACCAAAUCCACGCCAUGUUACAUUAAUUACAACCAAAAUCUCUCUGCACCCAACUAACCCGGACCUAAUUAAACUGAUGAGCAUAUACUUUUUUUCAAAAUAAAAUAUG
rnacentral:lncRNA from 1 species